AUUGAACGCUGGCGGCAUGCUUUACACAUGCAAGUCGAACGGCAGCGCGGGCUUCGGCCUGGCGGCGAGUGGCGAACGGGUGAGUAAUACAUCGGAACGUGCCCAGUAGUGGGGGAUAGCUCGGCGAAAGCCGGAUUAAUACCGCAUACGACCUGAGGGUGAAAGCGGGGGAUCUUCGGACCUCGCGCUAUUGGAGCGGCCGAUGGCAGAUUAGCUAGUUGGUGGGGUAAAGGCCUACCAGGGCGACGAUCUGUAGCUGGUCUGAGAGGACGACCAGCCACACUGGGACUGAGACACGGCCCAGACUCCUACGGGAGGCAGCAGUGGGGAAUUUUGGACAAUGGGCGAAAGCCUGAUCCAGCGAUGCCGCGUGUGUGAUGAAGGCCUUCGGGUUGUAAAGCACUUUUGGCGGGAACGAAAAGGACUGUGCCAAUACCACGGUUCGAUGACGGUACCCGCAGAAUAAGCACCGGCUAACUACGUG
rnacentral:rRNA from 1 species